GCACAUAGCAAGAUUAUAUUUCCCUGCUGAGUUGCAGGAACAUGUGACCUGUUUUGGCCAAUGAAAUGUGUAAACAGGUUUUGGAGACGCUUUUGGCUUACACUCAAUGACAACUUCACCUCCCACUUUGACAAGAGUUACUCUUUUCAAGAGUGUUCUUGAAAAAUCUGGACCUACAGCUGAAAGACAGUACAAAAAAUAAUUAUUAUGCAAGACAGCCUUCCAUGAGAUAAUUCCUUAGUCUUUUUCUUUCUUUCUUUUUUGAGACAGAGUCUUGCUCUGUUGCCAGUGCAGUGGUGCAAUCUUGGCUCACUGCAACCUCCGCCUCCCGGGUUCAAGUGACUCUCCUGCCUCAGCCUCCCUAGUAGCUGGGACUACAGGCACGCAUGACCACGCCCAGGUAAUUUUUGUAUUUUAGUAGUGAUGGCGUUUCACCAUGUUGGCCAGGAUGGUCUCGAGCUCUUGACCUCGUGAUCCGCCCGCCUCAGCCUCCCAAAGUGCGGGGAUUACAGGCAUGAGCCACCACACCCAGCAUCUUUUUCUUUCUCUAAUACACUUAUUGCUACCUUGGUCAUCAAAGGGAGGAAGCUAAUUUUUUUAAAGUAUGUAGCACUGUAUGUUUUGAUGGAUUUAGUAAACUUUGAGGUAUAAUUUGCAUUUGGUAAAAGGUACAUUUGUGUGUGUACAGUUUGGUGAAUUUGGUAUACACCACCAUGAAGAUCAAGACACAGAAUAUUCUCAUCUCCCUGUUGAGGGACUCUUUUAAAGAAAAUUUAUUGUAUGUUCAAGUGAACAAACAUUUUAAAAUUUCAGAAAAUUGAAAGGGAAAGAAACAAAAUUAGGAACGCCAUAAGAUUUUUUUUUUUAAUUGUGUAGGUUAAAGCAUUUGCUCUCUGAUAUGGUCGCCACCUCUGCUUUGUCCCAUAGCACUCUUCAUAUAUAUCUCUAUUAGAGAACAUGCUGAACUGUCUCUAUUGUCACUCUCCGUAAGCUUCUUAAACACAGGGUUUUGUUUAGCUUUUCACUGCAAGUGCCCAAUGCAAUGCUUGGCUCAUUUAGGAGAAGCUGUGACUUGUUCUUGGAGUGUAGGUGUUGAGAUAGCUCUAUUAUAUGCUCACCACUAGCGUUCUAAAAAAUUCACUCAUGCUAACACCAGUAACAUAGUCCUAUGGAAAUACUAUCAGAGAAUUAUUUCUUUCCUAAAACAAAAGAUACAUAUUUGUAUUCGCACAAAAGUAAAAUAAAAGACAUUUUUCCUGGAAAAUAUCUAUUUUCUUCUGAGUUAAUUGAAUUAAUGUGCAAGAAGAGAUUUUGGAAUGGAAGGAUUCAUUUCUUGGAAUCUUAAUUUUAUCAUAUUUUAAAAGCCUGAC
rnacentral:lncRNA from 10 species